rnacentral:ncRNA from 1 species
AAGAGCCGUAUGAGAUGAGAGUCUCACGUACGGUUCUGUGAGAAGGUGAGGUGAAAGUCCUUGCCUUACUCGAC